rnacentral:lncRNA from 1 species
CAGACACUCAAAAAAGCACAUUAGGAAAAGGAAAUACCUUAGCUGACAUGGCUGCUUACGGCACAGUUAUAACAGCCUCUCCUCCAGUGGCUCUGGGAAAUAGCUUAGUGGCAUAUGAGGGACAGUCACAAGGGGUUAUCAGCAAAAGCAGAACAAAUCCAACAAAUCCAAACAAACAAUGAAGAGAUGAAACCACUGUUUAAUAGUACCAGCCAUAGACAGGGAAUGCCACAUUAGAAAUCUCCCGAAGUACUGCAGGGUAUUCUGUGCAUGGUCAGUGAGGAAGAAGCUGUCUGGAUGGCACUAAGAAAUGUGAAAACAGUUAUUGCACUGCCUGAAGGAAUUCACCUUAUGCUGUCUAAAACAAAAGGAAGCUAGGUGGUAGUGCUUGCUGGGUGCGAUGGAAAAAAAUUGCAAAUGUAUAUUAAUGGUUGUCUGCUCUUUGCCAGCAAAACCAGGGCAUCGAGCUCAGAAGAGAAGCUCUGAUAAGACUGCCUUCUAGGAAGCACAUUCAGGUCGAUUAUACAGGGAAGCUAUCCAUCAUCAGCUGAAGAGAUGAAUAAUGGAUUCUUUUUCAUGACAGGUUUGGACAGAGCUGCUGUUGUGUUUGGAGGAGGAAGGAACAGCUAUGUUUGGACAGCAUGCACCUGCCCAUCCUCAAACCAAGUGGCCUACAUUAAGGCUUCAGCUUUCUCCAAACUGAAGAUGGAGCGUAGUCCUCAAUGUUUAGCUCUACAUCUACGGAGAUCUGUAAACCUUCCAUAGAAUCAGGCAUAGUUCCUAUGCCCAAACACAGCUUAUCAGUUAGCCAAUGGUACGGGCUGUGGGACUCUUGAGAGGCUUGGCGAGUUGGCAAGGCUGCUUUGUUGAACUACUUCAGUCACAUCAUGCAUUUUUAAUUGCCUAAAGUACACAGAAGGAAAAACGUUAAAGCAGUAAUUAGUUCUGUGCCAAAUACAAUUAAGUGACCGGGUGGAGAGCAGAGGGCACUUCCAACACAUUCCAGCUCCGCUUUCCGUUUGAAACAGGAACUCACUUGCACUGCUCACCGUGUUUGUUUGUUUCUUUCCUGCAAGGACCUGCACUGUUUGGUUGUCAUUUCCCCCCCGUCACCUACACGUUUGCACACCAGGAAAACAGAACGCGCAGUUUUCUCUGCAGGGGAUGAUGCUACCCGGAGCUGCACCCCGCUCACAGAAGCGCUUUGAUUCAGCCCCAGCCGUGUGACAGCGGGGUGAAGGGCAGUUCAAGCACAGUGCCGCUUUUGCUUUCCCUGCCGACACCGCCUUCGGGUCCGUGUCCCGCACCGCCCGGAUCGCUGACCCCACGUACCCCGCGGGGCCGGAACGAGGAGGCCCCACAGCCCGAGCCCGGCCCCCCCGCGCC